ACUCUUCCCUGGCAGGGGAGAUACAGUGGUCAUGAAGAUAGUUUCGCAUGACAAGGCUUAGCCGGCACACUCUCGGUGUGCUCACCCUGACAACUUCCCCAAACGUGGGAAACUCAACUUCAUAAUUUGUGGUAGUGGAGGAUUAUAUUUGCACUCUCCCCUG